ACAGGGGGUGAUCACUGUAUGAUUACUACCACAUUACACAGGGGGUGAUCACUGUAUGAUUACUUCCACAUUACACAGGGGGCGAUCACAGUAUGAUUACUACCACAUUACACAGGGGGCGAUCACAGUAUGAUUACUACCACAUUACACAGGGGGCAAUCACUGUAUGAUUACUACCACAUUACACAGGGGGCAAUCACUGUAUGAUUACUACCACAUUACACAGGGGGCGAUCACAGUAUGAUUACUACCACAUUACACAGGGGGCGAUCACUGUAUGAUUACUACCACAUUACACAGGGGGCUCACAGUAUGAUUACUACCACAUUACACAGGGGGCGAUCACUGUAUGAUUACUACCACAUUACACAGGGGGUGAUCACAGUAUGAUUACUACCACAUUACACAGAGGGUGAUCACAGUAUGAUUACUACCACAUUACACAGGGGGUGAUCACUGUAUGAUUACUACCACAUUACACAGGGGGUGAUCACAGUAUGAUUACUACCACAUUACACAGGGGGCGAUCACAGUAUGAUUACUACCACAUUACACAGGGGGUGAUCACAGUAUGAUUACUACCACAUUACACAGGGGGCGAUCACAGUAUGAUUACUACCACAUUACACAGGGGGCGAUCACAGUGCUUUAGUUUGCUAAUUGUUUUUCUCAGGCAGGGAACGCUGUCACCAUGACAACAGAUGCAUCACCUGAGGCCUCCUGCCCCACCGCUGCCCCCCCGUCUGUAGACCAGGACCAGCAGGAGGAGGGAGAGGAGCAGGAGGUGGAGGAAGAGGAGGAAGAGGAGGAAGAGGUGCAGGAAGUGGAGGAGGAAGAGUGUGUCAGCGCUCUGCAGCUCGUAGGAGAUUACGGCUGCGAGGAGGACGAGAUGAGUUUCGACCUGCAGUGAUGGAGGUCACCUGACCCUCGCCUGCAGUGAUGGAGGUCACCUGACCCUCACCUGCAGUGAUGGAGGUCACCUGACCCUCACCUGGAGUGAUGGAGGUCACCUGACCCUCACCUGGAGUGAUGGAGGUCACCUGACCCUCACCUGGAGUUGUUUAUAUUGUAAAAAGGCUGUAGCUAUAGAUGCGUCUGUAUUUUUAUAUGAAUGUUAAUAUGACAUAAUUCCCUCCUGAAGCAGCUUCCUGCGGUUUCAACCAUUGUACUGUUUUUUACGUGUACUUUGUGUAGUUUGUGUACUAUGUGUAGUUUGUGUACUAUGUGUACUUUGUGUAUUUUCAUUUUAAUUAACUUCCUGAGAUAAAAAAAAUAUGUAUUUACAAAAAUGGUGAAAAUAAAACUCGUAUUGAUGUUACCUUUUA